UGAUGUGGCGCUCUCAUCUAUCGGGAAAUCCCCUUUUCUGCCUCUAAGAUUUUUUGGCUUUUUAAAACAAUACACCCAAACCGCUUCACCUCCACACCGAUUCUGCAGGCUUACAAUUUCUCAAUACUUCAUCUACUCAACGAUUCUCUCACAACGAUUGUAUGGUAACGAUUCUCUACUCCCUUUCCCCCUACUUGCUCUCCUUCUAAAUCUUCCAAUUUCUCUGUACUUAUCCACCCUUUCAAUUUCCCAAAAAACCUACAGUUUUUUUUGCUGAAGGAAACAGUAUCUUCAAUCCCCUACUAAUGUCCCCAUUCUUUACCCACGGCAUGUUCUGACAAAAUUUUCAAUCCUUAAAUGUUGAAUCUGUUCGCUCAACUAAUAUAAGUGUGGACGCACAAGGUAUACAAGACAAAACAAAUCUUUCCGCUCUACAAGUAUGGUGUUGACGCACAAGGAAUACGAAUACAAAACGUCGUUACGAGAUUGAGGAUGACCAUUAAUGAGUUAUUGGAGUCUGACUGGAGUGCCGAAAUACAAGGAAAUUCCAUAUUCCUGCCGAAAUAGAGGGGAAAAGCACAAUGGAGGAUAACAUUAAACCAAAACAAAGAUUUAUUGAAAUAAAGGAAGAUCUACAUGUCUAUCACUGUGUUAAGAGUAUGAAGAGAAGAACUUCAUCAAGAUAGAUUAGGAAGAGAACUUAAUCAUACAUGAUGAUGAAGAUAGUGAUGGAGAGAAAAAGAAAACCAAGAAGUAGAUCGUCUACUGUUGGUUUUGGAACUUUUAAAGUGGGCCUAUCUUAGAAUAUUAUUGUGUUCUAUUGUUUUUUCGUUAGUAACUACAGUAGAUGUAUUAAUGUAAAAAUUGCUCUACAACUUAUUUUUAUUUGAACUUAUAAAUGUAUAUAUUUAUAAGAGUAGUGUUGUCUGUAUCCUGAACCAAAUUUAUAAGAUCUUCUAGUUUCCCGUGUUC